CAAGCUAUAUAAAUAAGUAUUUAAUAUAAUAAAAGUGUAGAGCAACAACCGAGGGUGUAAGGUAAAGGCUGAAUAUUGUAGAUUUAUUACAAUAUGUUGCAUGUUUGAAUUAAAAUACCUGUGGAUAUGCAACUUCCCACUAAUGAAAGUUUUAUUCAAAAGGAGCACACUCUACAAAGGCCUGACUGGAGAUUUGCCUGAUCUAUCCGUCCUUCAGAUGACAGCGGCUCGCUUCAAGAGCAGGUGAAGCAAGUUGGGACAAUGUUGAAGACAUUUGCUCGCACUGGGCAAUCAGGUGCAGAUCAAACCCUAAUGCUGCGACGUCUUGGAAUUUGGC